rnacentral:rRNA from 1 species
UGGGGAAUAUUGCACAAUGGGCGCAAGCCUGAUGCAGCAACGCCGCGUGAACGAUGAGGGUCUUCGGAUCGUAAAGUUCUGUUGCAGGGGAAGAUAAUGACGGUACCCUGUGAGGAAGCCCCGGCUAACUACGUGCCAGCAGCCGCGGUAAUACGUAGGGGGCUAGCGUUAUCCGGAUUUACUGGGCGUAAAGGGUGCGUAGGUGGUCUUUCAAGUCGGUGGUUAAAGGCUACGGCUCAACCGUAGUUAGCCUCCGAAACUGGAAGACUUGAGUGCAGGAGAGGAAAGUGGAAUUCCCAGUGUAGCGGUGAAAUGCGUAGAUAUUGGGAGGAACACCAGUAGCGAAGGCGGCUUUCUGGACUGCAACUGACACUGAGGCACGAAAGCGUGGGUAGCAAACAGG